rnacentral:sRNA from 18 species
AGAAAAAAUACAACAACAAAUCGACGGAAGUUUGUUCUGCAUGGCAAUUUAGUAAUUUUUGCCGCACACCUGCCACCUAUAUAUGAGAAGUGAAGAUGAUUACAAAAAUAAAUCAUAUAUUGAGUCUGCGCUCCACUUCUCAUAUCCUAUCUGCACUGGAUGUAAAACACGCAUGCGGCGCUGACUGGUGCGUUAACCAGUUUUUUAAAUAUAUAGCCCUUUCCAUCUGUUGAAAAUUGAGCAGCUGGUUUUU